rnacentral:tRNA from 1 species
GUUUCCGUAGCUCAGCUGGAUAGAGCGUCCCCCUCCUAAGGGGAAGGUCAGGCGUUCGAAUCGCCUCGGGAACACCA